GUGAUUCAGCUGGCGGACGGGUGAGUAAUGUAUAGGAAUCUGCCUGGUAGUGGGGGAUAACGUCCGGAAACGGUAGCUAUACCGCAUACGCCCUACAGGGAGAAAGUGGGGGAUCUUCAGACCUUGCGCUAUUGGAUGAGCCUAUGUCGGAUUAGCUAGUUGGUGGGGUAACGGCUCACCAAGGCGACGAUCCGUAACUGGUUUGAGAGGAUGACCAGCCACACUGGAACUGAGACACGGCCCAGACUCCUACGGGAGGCAGCAGUGGGGAAUUUUGGACAAUGGGGGAAACCCUGAUCCAGCCAUCCCGCGUGUGCGAAGAAGGCCUUCGGAUUGUAAAGCACUUUUGGUUGGAAAGAAAGGCAGUGGGUUAAUACCCUGUUGUUUUGACGUUACCUGCAGAAUAAGCACCGGCUAACUUCGUGCCAGCAGCCGCGGUAAUACGAAGGGUGCAAGCGUUAAUCGGAAUUACUGGGCAUAAAGCGCGCGCAGGUGGUUCAGAAAGAUGGAUGUGAAAUCCCCGAGCUCAACCUGGGAACUGCAUCUUUAACUACUGAGCUAGAGUGUGUCAGAGGGAGGUGGAAUUCCACUGUGUACCAGUGAAAUGCGUAUAUAUACGGAGGAGCACC
rnacentral:rRNA from 1 species